CAACUUCAGCUCAGGUCAUGAUCUCAUGGUUGGUCAACCGAGGCUGAGGAGAAAAGCAACGUUUGCAUCUCAGACACUGUGUUGGUGAAAUGGAUUAACUUUGGUCUUCCCAGGCCGACCAAACACUCUCAUCAUCUGUGAUGAUGACUAUACUGAGAAAGUCGAAACAAUCAUGUGUUAUCGGUGAUACUACACUCUUUCCAGUGGGGGCAGACCAUCUUUUCCCCCACCCGCCUCCCCAUCACUGUAGUGAAGGAAGCCUGCCGCAAAAGAGAGUAUCCUG